GCAGGAAUGGCGGAAUAGGCAGACGCGCGGGACUUAAAAUCCCGUUCUAGAAAUAGAGUGAGAGUUCGAUUCUCUCUUCCUGCA
rnacentral:tRNA from 1 species